rnacentral:rRNA from 1 species
UACAGAGGGUGCAAGCGUUAAUCGGAAUUAUUGGGCGUAAAGAGCUCGUAGGUGGCCUGUCGCGUCGGCUGUGAAAACUCGGGGCUCAACUCCGAGCUUGCAGUCGAUACGGGCAGGCUAGAGUUCGGCAGGGGAGACUGGAAUUCCUGGUGUAGCGGUGAAAUGCGCAGAUAUCAGGAGGAACACCGGUGGCGAAGGCGGGUCUCUGGGCCGAUACUGACACUGAGGAGCGAAAGCGUGGGGAGCGAACAGG